GGGACCCUCGCUGUAGGAGGGCCCUCCAAGAGCCCCUGAUGAAUUUAUUUGGCUGGUAAAAAAAAAGAAAAACAAUUCCCGUUCUUUCUGUUUGAUAAAUCACCAGCACAGCUCCAUGAUGUCUC
rnacentral:lncRNA from 1 species